rnacentral:lncRNA from 1 species
CUGAAUCACUGAUUUUAUUUUUUAGAACUGGGGCCUUCGGAGGAUCAAGUACCAGGGUUUCUUUUGUUUUCUUUCUUGCUGUGUGUGUACCUAUGAAAACCAAAGCAUUGGCCCUACAGUCAUUCCCCAGCCCCUACCCAUCUCCGUGCAGGGCUUCGAGGGGUUCGCCAUGCUUCUAAGGUGAAAACUGGCACUGGAAAUAGCACUUUUAGGGCAAUGAGAGUGUUUAGUAUUCUUUUCUUCCAUCUGAAACAUCGUGUGGAACUCCUUUUAAAAAUUGAUGGGGAUUAAGCAGCGAGCUGUUGCUGGAUACAAGAAGAGCAAAUAAAGGUGACUGGUCUCAGCUUCAAGAUUCCAAAGCGGUUACUGCAGCCGUGGCAGAAAGGAGAGGAACGCACAGGCCUAUUAGGGAGACUUCAGGUUGUUAAACGGGCGCCUAAUGGUGGGGAGAAAAGGGUGAAGGGUCUUGAAUAGUAAUUUUUUGAAGUCUAGUUUUUAAAAAUUGCCGAUGUUUCAAUUUAGUCUUGAUGCUUUCAUAACUCAUAAGACGUGGAAGCUUCAGAAGUGAGCCUGUGUGUUGAAGGAAGAGCAGUGGGCUGCCGUGUAAAUGUUCUCGGACUGAUUAGUAUGAAAGUGGCCCUUCCUCCCCACUUUCCUUUGUGAUGCCGACGAGAGAGUGACCUGAUAGCGGCAUGAAUUAUGCAUCUUCAGAAGGCAGAGCUGCUAGGAAUUGAAGAAGAGACCGGAAAGACGAUGCCCUGGACAGAGCUUGUUCCUUCAGUCUGGAUCUCAGAGCAAAGAUGUGUAGUGCGGGACCACAGAGAACCCAUAGCAGACAUGGAACUGAAACAGGUUUUGCAAAAAUGUGUAAUUCUCUUUGAAUCCUGCAGUUUACUACAUCUAGAAGCAACUGAAAAGUUCUCACCAUGGCCUUUAAGACUGUAUUAUAUGGACCCUGCCUACUCUCAGAUUUUAUCUUACACAUUUCUGUGUUCAAGCACAGUGACAUUCACCACCAUCGCAGAGCCAGCUGGUCCCAUCCCUGCCUUGUGGCCUUUGCAGUUCUCUUCUUACCAUCGUGUCCUUCCCACGUGCUUCUCUCUCUCCAGCCCAUCUUGAUUUCUUCUCAGCGUUCUUUACCAUCUGAAUGUAUUUGCCAGUUGAUUGUUUUCUUUUUCCUUCAUCUAGAAUCUAACUCCCUGUUAGCGUGUCUUGUAUCUGUCCUGCUUGGAACAGGGCUUGCCCUGCGUAAGCACUGAAGAAACGUUUCAAAUGAAUAAGUGGGUCUCGUGCCCUCCACCAGGUCAAAUUUGAUGCUAAUAAAAAUGCUAUUAUUCCC